rnacentral:rRNA from 1 species
AUUGAACGCUGGCGGCAGGCCUAACACAUGCAAGUCGAACGAGUGGCGGACGGGUGAGUAAUGUCUGGGAAACUGCCCGCUGGAGGGGGAUAACUACUGGAAACGGUCGCUAAUACCGCAUACCCUCGGAUGUGCCCAGAUGGGAUUAGCUAGUAGGUGGGGUAACUGCUCACCUAGGCGACUAUCCCUAGCUGGUCUGAGCGGAUGACCAGCCACACUGGAACUGAGACACGGUCCCGACUCCGACGGGAGGCCGCCGUGGGGAAUAUUGCACAAUGGGCUCAAGCCUGAUGCAGCCAUGCCGCGUGUAUGAAGAAGGCCUUCGGGUUGUAAAGUACUUUCAGCGAGGAGGCGUUACCCGCAGAAGAAGCACCGGCUAACUCCGGGCCAGCAGCCGCGGUAAUUC